UGGCGUAGCGCGCAAAGCUUCGGCUUGCUAAGCCGAAGGUCCCGGGUUCGAAUCCCGG
rfam:Habropoda laboriosa contig6606, whole genome shotgun sequence.